AAAAAACAUGUCUUUUUGAAAAUAAUAAAAAGUCUAAUCUGCCCACUGAAUUUAUUUAAAGGGCUGCAGUAUAUUGACUGUACAAAGGUAGCAUAAUCAAUAGUCUUUUAAUUGAAGACUUGUAUGAAUGAUUUGAUGAAAUAUAAACUGUCUCUUUAUUAAAAAUAAAAUUUAAUUUUUUAGUUAAAAAGCUAAAAUAAUUAUAAAAGACGAGAAGACCCUAUAGAGUUUUAUAAUUAUUGUAAUUUGAUAAUUUUUUAUAUAAAUUAAAUUUUAAUUUAAAUAAUUAUUUUAUUGGGGUGAUAGAAAAAUUAAAUGAACUUUUUUUAAUUUAAAACAUUAAUUUAUGAUAUUAUGAUCCAUAAUUUAUGAUUAAAAGAAUUAAUUACCUUAGGGAUAACAGCGUAAUUUUUUUUUUUAGUACAAAUAAAAAAAAGAGUUUGCGACCUCGAUGUUGGAUUAAGAUAAAAUUUAAAUGCAAAAGUUUAAAAUUUUUGAUCUGUUCGAUCAUUAAAAUCUUACAUGAUCUGAG
rnacentral:rRNA from 1 species